rnacentral:lncRNA from 1 species
UUAAUGUAGUUUAGUUUUUUUGUUUUUUUGUUUUUUUCUAGUAGAGAUGAGGUCUCACUAUGUCAACCAGGCUGGUUUUGAACUCCUGGGCUCAAGCAGUCCUCCCACCUUGGCCUCCAAAAGUUCUGGGAUUACAAGCAUAAGCCACCACGCCAGCCUCAAUUAAUUUAGUUCUAAAAAUUCCUGAGAUGUUAGUAUUUGACUUGUUGCCUUACUCUGCUCAACGUAUAAGCUCAGUUCUGCUAAGGCAAUCACAUUUUUCCUUAGAAGAUCUCUAAUGUGGAGCUGAAGUCUUACAAAGGUAAUAGUCAGGUUCUGUGUUAUUUCUAGGGUCGAACAAUCUUAUCAGAAGGUGAUGGCCCUUUGGCACCAGCUACAUGUUAACACCAAAAGCCUUAUAUCUUGGAACUAUCUGCGUAAAGACCUUGACCUUAUACAGACCUGGAACCUAGAAAAGCUUCGAUCCUCAGCACCAGGGGAGUGUCAUCAGAUUAUGAAGAAUCUUCAGGCCCACUAUGAAGACUUUCUGCAGGAUAGUCGUGACUCUGUGCUGUUCUCAGUGGCUGAUCGCUUGCGCUUGGAAGAGGAAGUGGAAGCUUGUAAAGCCCACUUCCAGCACCUGAUGAAGUCCAUGGAGAAUGAGGACAAAGAGGAGACUGUGGCCAAGAUGUACAUUUCAGAGUUGAAGAACGUCCGGCUACGCCUGGAGGAGUGUGAACAGAGGGUGGUCAAACGAAUUCAGUCUCUAGCCGGCUCUAGGACUGACAAAGAUGCCCAGCAGGACAGUGCAUUAAGGAUUGCAGAGCAAGAAGUAAGCCCUAAGAGCAGUGCGGAUGCUGGUUGUGUAGUGAAUGCUUUCAGAGUUCAUUGGAUGGCAAGA